rnacentral:rRNA from 1 species
UAAGUCUGAUGUGAAAGCCCCCGGCUCAACCGGGGAGGGUCAUUGGAAACUGGGGAACUUGAGUGCAGAAGAGGAGAGUGGAAUUCCACGUGUAGCGGUGAAAUGCGAUAGAGAUGUGGAGGAACACCAGUGGCGAAGGCGACUCUCUGGUCUGUAACUGACGCUGAGGAGCGAAAGCGUGGGGAGCGAACAGGAUUAGAUACCCUGGUAGUCCACGCCGUAAACGAUGAGUGCUAAGUGUUAGGGGGUUUCCGCCCCUUAGUGCUGCAGCUAACGCAUUAAGCACUCCGCCUGGGGAGUACGGUCGCAAGACUGAAACUCAAAGGAAUUGACGGGGGCCCGCACAAGCGGUGGAGCAUGUGGUUUAAUUCGAAGCAACGCGAAGAACCUUACCAGGUCUUGACAUCCUCUGACAAUCCUAGAGAUAGGACGUCCCCUUCGGGGGCAGAGUGACAGGUGGUGCAUGGUUGUCGUCAGCUCGUGUCGUGAGAUGUUGGGUUAAGUCCCGCAACGAGCGCAACCCUUGAUCUUAGUUGCCAGCAUUCAGUUGGGCACUCUAAGGUGACUGCCGGUGACAAACCGGAGGAAGGUGGGGAUGACGUCAAAUCAUCAUGCCCCUUAUGACCUGGGCUACACACGUGCUACAAUGGACAGAACAAAGGGCAGCGAAACCGCGAGGUUAAGCCAAUCCCACAAAUCUGUUCUCAGUUCGGAUCGCAGUCUGCAACUCGACUGCGUGAAGCUGGAAUCGCUAGUAAUCGCGGAUC